CGCACACAGUCUUGACGGAGGGGAGAAGCGUGAGAUAUGCAAUCAAUCUUUCAGCAAAUAGCUUUAGGGUCUGAGGAGUGGGAUCGGGCUCGUCUUUAUCGAGAUUCGCAUGUACCGACUCGUUGCGAGAAUGCCUCCAGCUGAAAUGAAUCAGCACAAAUGUAUCUGAAGCAUACAGUGCCCAAUCUGCAGCAGCUCGCUCUUGUUUAGCUGCAGUAGCAGAAGCAAGCCUUGGAAAGCAAACAACAUUGUCUUGCUCUUCUUGUUGUUGCUGAUACUCAGCAGUGAAUUCUCAAGAUGUAGCAUAUUUCAACCAAUCUUUCAACAUCUUGAUCAGUUUGUUAUUCAUUUUAGUCAUGUGAUGGAUGUGGGAGGAUCUGAUGAUGG
rnacentral:sRNA from 1 species